rnacentral:rRNA from 1 species
AUUACUGACGCUCAUGGACGAAAGCCAGGGGAGCGAAAGGGAUUAGAUACCCCUGUAGUCCUGGCCGUAAACGAUGAACACUAGGUGUCGGGGGAAUCGACCCCUUCGGUGUCGUAGCUAACGCGUUAAGUGUUCCGCCUGGGGAGUACGCACGCAAGUGUGAAACUCAAAGGAAUUGACGGGGGCCCGCACAAGCGGUGGAGUAUGUGGUUUAAUUCGAUGCAACGCGAAGAACCUUACCAGGGUUUGACAUCCUGCGAACCUCUUAGAAAUUUGAGGGUGCCUUCGGGAAUGCAGUGACAGGUGGUGCAUGGCUGUCGUCAGCUCGUGUCGUGAGAUGUUGGGUUAAGUCCCGCAACGAGCGCAACCCACGUUUUUAGUUGCCAGCAUUUAGUUGGGCACUCUAGAAAGACCGCCGGUGAUAAACCGGAGGAAGGUGUGGAUGACGUCAAGUCAUCAUGCCCCUUACACCCUGGGCUACACACGUACUACAAUGCUACGGACAAAGGGCAGCAAACUCGCGAGAGCUAGCAAAUCCCAUAAACCGUGGCUCAGUUCAGAUCGUAGGCUGCCACUCGCCUACGUGAAGUAGGAAUCGCUAGUAAUCGCAGGUCAGCAUACUGCGGUGAAUACGUUCCCGGGCCUU